CUGGAGGAUACCCUGGGGAGUCCUCACAUGCUAGAGGCGAGGAGGCACCAUCAUCAUACAUUGAUGAUGUAUUGUUGAUGACCGAGGAUGAGUUGAGACAGAUUCAGGAGGGUACCUUGUCGGCCAUUUCAUUUGGCCUCGAUAGCUUGAUGGGCACAAGUAGCACGAGUGCAGUGCAGUGUGAUCUAGGAUCUGGUAGUGCAAUUGGAGACAAGGGAAAGAGAAUCCUUGGCUUCACAUCCUUGAUGACUACACCCAGUAUACCUGAAGAAGAAGAAGAGAUGCCUCGAG